GUGCGGCCUCUCUCCCAUUUGAAAACUAACUGUUAUUUGGCAUGUAUACAUGUGUUUUUUUUUUUUGCAUUCUUGCAACUUUGAAUGGAUGACCCCUGCAAAACACCCGUGGCUGUGGUUGAAGACCAGAACCUAUGCAAGAAACUCCAUCUCAUGCUCUAACUAGUUUUAAUGUUGUUGUAGCAGUAAUAAUCCAUAGCGUCUGCAUUAGGUGCAAAGACUGUGAAGGGGCCACGACUUCCGAGUUCAGGGUGCCUUUGCAGGUUUCUCCGUCUCCAAUAAAGCCAGGCCUACAAGUGCAGUUCCUUUCCAGGGGUCCUGUCGUGGUA